UACAGAGGUCUCAAGCGUUGUUCGGAUUCAUUGGGCGUAAAGGGUGCGUAGGCGGCGCGGUAAGUCGGGUGUGAAAUCUCGGAGCUUAACUCCAGAACUGCCUUUGAUACUGAAGAUCUUGAGUCCGGGAGAGGUGAGUGGAACUGCGAGUGUAGAGGUGAAAUUCGUAGAUAUUCGCAAGAACACCAGUGGCGAAGGCGGCUCACUGGCCCGGUACUGACGCUGAGGCACGAAAGCGUGGGGAGCAAACAGG
rnacentral:rRNA from 1 species